rnacentral:rRNA from 1 species
AUGUACAUACUUACAACAUAGCAUUAAUGCACUGGAUCCCCUUAGAACUCCGCAGUCAAGCGUGCUCGGGCUAGAGUAGUACUGGGAUGGGAGACCGCCUGGGAAGUCCUAGUGUUUUACAUG